rnacentral:rRNA from 1 species
GUUUGAUUAUGGCUCAGAUUGAACGCUGGCGGGAUGCUUUACACGCGCAUGCAAGUCAGGCAGCGGCACGGACUUCGGUCUGGUGGCGAGUGGCGAACAGGUGAGUAAUGUAUCGGAACGUGCCUAGUAGCGGGGGAUAACUACGCGAAGCGUAGCUAAUACCUUACGCCCCUUCGAAAAGCAGGAGGACCUUCGAACCUCACUAUUAGAACAGCCGAUAUCGGAUUAGCUGGUUGGUGGGGUAACGGCUCACCAAGGCGACGAUCCGUAGCUGGUUUGAGAGGACGACCAGCCACACUGGGACUGAGACACGGCCCAGACUCCUACGGGAGGCAGCAGUGGGGAAUUUUGGACAAUGGGGAAACCCUGAUCCCAGCCAUCGCGUGCGAUGAAGGCCUUCCGGGUUGUAAAGCACUUUUGGCAGGAAAGAAACGGCACGGGAUAAUACCCGAUGCAACUGACAGCUACCCAGAAUAAGCACCGGCUAACUACGUGCCAACAGCCGCGGUAAUACGUGCGGCAGGUUGCAAGCGUUAAUCUCGGAAUUACAAGCAUCAAGCGAUACCGCGAAACCAGUUCGGAAAAGAAAGUGUAAAAUCCCGGUACAACUGAAACUGCAGCAUUUUAUUACAGAGCCGAGUGUGUCGGGGAACGGAAUUCCGCAAUGUGGCAGUACAGAAAAUGCGUCGAUAUGCGAAGCGUUACACCGAUGGCGAAGGCAGCCUCCUGGGAUAACACUGACGCUCAUGCACGAAAGCGUGGGGAGCAAACGAAGUUAAGAUACCCUGGUAGUCCACGCCCUAAACGAUGUCAGCUAGCUGUUGGGGCCUUCGGGCCUUGGUAGCGCAACUAACGCGUAAGUUGACCGCCUGGGGAGUACGGUCGCAAGAUUAAAACUCAAAGAAUUGACGGGGACCCGCACAAGCGGAUGAUGUGGAUUAAUUCGAUGCAACGCGAAAAACCUUACCUACAUGACAUGUCUGGAAUCCCGAAGAGAUUUGGGAGUGCUCGCAAGAGAACCAGACACAGGUGCUGCAUGGCUGUCGUCGGCUCGUGUCGUGAGAUGUUGGGUUAAGUCCCGCAACAGGCGCAACCCUUGUCAUUAGAUUGCUACGAAAGGGCACUCUAAUGAGACUGCCGGUGACAAACCGGAGGGGAAGGUGGGGAUGACGUCAAGUCCUCAUGGCCCUUAUGGGUAGGGCUUCACACGUCAUACAAUGGUCAGGACAGAGGGUCGCCAACCCGCAGAGAGGAGCCAAUCCCAGGAAACCCGAUCGUAGUCCGGAUCGCAGUCUGCAACUCGACUGCGUGAAGUCGGAAUCGCUAGUAAUCGCGGAUCAGCAUGUCGCGGUGAAUACGUUCCCGGGUCUUGUACACCGCCGUACACCAUGGGAGUGGGUUUUACCCAGAAGUAGUUAGCCUAACCGUAAGGAGGGCGAUUACCACGGUAAGUUCAUGACUGGGUGAAGUCGUAACAAGGUAA